rnacentral:misc_RNA from 1 species
GAUGAAGAACGCAGCGAAAUGCGAUAAGUAGUGUGAAAUGCAGAAUUCAGUGAAUCAUCGAAUCUUUGAACGCACAUUGCGCCCCUUGGUAUCCCGAGGGGCAUGCCUGUUCGAGCGUCAUUUCACCACUCAAGCCUGGCUUGGUGUUGGGCGACGUCCUCUUUGGGGACGCGCCUCGAAACGCUCGGCGGCGUGGCACCGGCUUUAAGCGUAGCAGAAUCUUUCGCUUUGGAAGUCGGGGCCCCGUCUGCCGGAAGACCUGCUCGCAAGGUUGACCUCGGAUCAGGCAGGGAUACCCGCUGAACUUAAGCAUAUCAAUAAGCGGAGGA